UUACUUACAUGGAUAGGGUUAAUAGCUGAUCAAGAAGAGCUAUGGCCCAGAUCAGUGGCCUCUAUUGCACCUCGAAGGAGCAUUGGCUUACCAUCUUCCUAAAUGUGAGAGUGGAUGUCAUAAUUUGUGGUAGAGGGGGUACAGUUCGCGCGGCCCUAC